UUUGACAAAGCUACAUGGUAACCAGUGAUGUGAUCCCUCCUCCUCAUGUUCUCGAAUCGUAAGUCUUACGUUGUUCUUAAAUGCAUCUCCGCCACCAUCAUCAAAAUCCACAAAGCAAGCCCCAGUCAAACGGACUCGUAGAAAGUAGGGCAAAGUGUCAUCUGAUAUGAAGUCGAGGCUGCUUCUUCCCGCCGCUUUUCUACCUCUUACGGUCUUCAUCAUCUUCUGCAGGACGGUGUGGGCGUCGGAGUCGGCGGCGUGCCAAGUUGAGCUGCGUGCGUAUAUUUUGGAGUCGUGUGCAGCUGCGGAUAUCGUAUUCGAGGCCUUCAGCGUCUGCUGCGAGUUUCUCCGCCGGACUCGACCACCGUGUCUCCAUCGGCAUUUGCGUGCUGUGGCUUCCAUCGGUGACAGUAAGGCUUGGUUGGGGGACUGUUGUGUACUGUUGUAGUUAACACCAAGUCAAUCCGGAUAUUAUCAGAUUUUUUUUUGUUAUUUUUUUUUUCAGUGGAUUGGUUUUUUCUUCUUUU
rnacentral:lncRNA from 1 species